rnacentral:tRNA from 2 species
GCGGGCGUGGCGGAAUUGGUAGACGCACCGGUUUUAGGUACCGACGGCGCAAGCCGUGGGGGUUCAAGUCCCUCCGCCCGCACCA